GUAAAUCCGGUUCACUUUAACACUGAGGCGUGACGACGAGGCACUACGGUGCUGAAGCAACAAAUGCCCUGCUUCCAGGAAAAGCCUCUAAGCAUCAGGUAACAUCAAAUCGUACCCCAAACCGACACAGGUGGUCAGGUAGAGAAUACCAAGGCGCUUGAGAGAACUCGGGUGAAGGAACUAGGCAAAAUGGUGCCGUAACUUCGGGAGAAGGCACGCUGACACGUAGGUGAAGUGAUUUACUCAUGGAGCUGAAGUCAGUCGAAGAUACCAGCUGGCUGCAACUGUUUAUUAAAAACACAGCACUGUGCAAACACGAAAGUGGACGUAUACGGUGUGACGCCUGCCCGGUGCCGGAAGGUUAAUUGAUGGGGUCAGCGCAAGCGAAGCUCCUGAUCGAAGCCCCGGUAAACGGCGGCCGUAACUAUAACGGUCCUAAGGUAGCGAAAUUCCUUGUCGGGUAAGUUCCGACCUGCACGAAUGGCGUAAUGAUGGCCAGGCUGUCUCCACCCGAGACUCAGUGAAAUUGAACUCGCUGUGAAGAUGCAGUGUACCCGCGGCAAGACGGAAAGACCCCGUGAACCUUUACUAUAGCUUGACACUGAACAUUGAGCCUUGAUGUGUAGGAUAGGUGGGAGGCUUUGAAGUGUGGACGCCAGUCUGCAUGGAGCCGACCUUGAAAUACCACCCUUUAAUGUUUGAUGUUCUAACGUGGACCCGUUACCCGGGUUGCGGACAGUGUCUGGUGGGUAGUUUGACUGGGGCGGUCUCCUCCUAAAGAGUAACGGAGGAGCACGAAGGUUGGCUAAUCCUGGUCGGACAUCAGGAGGUUAGUGCAAUGGCAUAAGCCAGCUUGACUGCGAGCGUGACGGCGCGAGCAGGUGCGAAAGCAGGUCAUAGUGAUCCGGUGGUUCUGAAUGGAAGGGCCAUCGCUCAACGGAUAAAAGGUACUCCGGGGAUAACAGGCUGAUACCGCCCAAGAGUUCAUAUCGACGGCGGUGUUUGGCACCUCGAUGUCGGCUCAUCACAUCCUGGGGCUGAAGUAGGUCCCAAGGGUAUGGCUGUUCGCCAUUUAAAGUGGUACGCGAGCUGGGUUUAGAACGUCGUGAGACAGUUCGGUCCCUAUCUGCCGUGGGCGCUGGAGAACUGAGGGGGGCUGCUCCUAGUACGAGAGGACCGGAGUGGACGCAUCACUGGUGUUCGGGUUGUCAUGCCAAUGGCACUGCCCGGUAGCUAAAUGCGGAAGAGAUAAGUGCUGAAAGCAUCUAAGCACGAAACUUGCCCCGAGAUGAGUUCUCCCUGAGACUUAGAGUCUCCUGAAGGAACGUUGAAGACGACGACGUUGAUAGGCCGGGUGUGUA
rnacentral:rRNA from 1 species